AGCACAGCAGAAGAUCAGUGCUGAAGAGAGGAAGAAAAUGGAGGAAUCUGUCCAGUCUCUGGUUGCAAACAAUAAAGAAGAACAAAUCAGACAACUAAAGGACACAAUCCAAGAGCUGCAGAGCAGAAUGGAAGAGCUGGAGCAGAGGAAUGCAAGAGAUCAUCAAGCUGGUGCAAACAAACAAGAGGAAAAUAGCAAGCAACUCAGGAUGCUGGCUAAGCAAUUGCAAGAGCUGGAGCAGAAGACUGACAGAGAUCAUCAAGCUGGUACAAAGCAAGAGGACAGACUCAGAAAGGUGGAGAGGGAAUUGGAAAGUGCGAAGCAGAGGAGCAGAAGAAAAUAUCAGUCUGAGGCCAUUUCUCUUCAACAUGGGAAAGACAAAGGAACACACUGUUCAAGUAAGGCAGAUGUGUGUCGACCUUCACAAGUAAGGCAAUGGCUACAAGAAAAUAGCCACUCGCACACCUGCCCAUAUCUAUGGUCAGAGGAAUCGUUAAGAAGUUUAAAACAACUGGAGCAGCGGUAAACAAGCCUGGAAGAGGACGCAAGUUUAUUUUGCCACCACGCACAGUGAGGAGGAUGGGUCAGACAAGCAGAAUUUCUUUUCCAAGCACAAGCAUGCGCUGGAAUCUCGCCUUUCCAGUGUCCUCACCCCCAUCGUGGCCUUGCUCUAUCAAGAGGAGGUUCUUAAUGACUGUGAGCGGCAGGACGUGGGCAACAGAGCUAGUGGUUUACAGACAAACUAUUUUCUGCUGAACAUGAUAGAGAAAAAAGGAACCAGAGCACAAGAAGCGUUCUAUGACGUGCUAAAGAAAGCAGACCCAUUCCUGGUGGAUGAGCUGGAAAGUAAAUGUCAUUAAAUCCACACAUACAGUAUGAAUGACACAGAGUUACACAGCAUGUACUUGGUCUUAUUGACUAGGCACUGACUCACACUAAUGGACUUGAAAUCAUCUUGACAUAUGUAGACAGACUAGUUUUGCCUAAUCACAGACCUAUUAUAUCUUCUUUGCUACAUGACUCAUAUUUUAGAAUGUUAAAUGGCAUGCUGUCAAACAAGACUAGAUAAAUAAUCGAAGCAUAUAACUUUAUUUGUCUCAGUGUGUGAUGGAUUUCAAUAGGCUCUCCAUUUCUUCAUGUUUGUAGGGAGACUCACACACACACUGUUAAAUAGGUCAGAAAUUGAGACUAAUAAAAGGGCUAAGAGUUUAACCAGUACUAAAGUUGAAAUGACUGGAGUGUGAUUGAAAUAUAACCUUGUUUAUAAGCAAACAGUAAUCUUGCUUUGAAACUGAAGAAUAUCCAACAAUGUGGAACGAAUCAAGCCAAAAGACAGUGGAAGAAAGGGAGAAGAGAUUUUAGAGUGUAACACCUGAACCUUAUGUCAAUAAAGAACAGAUGAGGCAUAAGGGAAUGGUGAGGGAAAUCUUAAUAGGGACAGGAGUCUGAACCUCAUGUGAGGGUCCUUGCAUGUGCUGUUGCUGCUGCUAUGCUUCACUGUGCUUUCCACAAAUGCUCUGCUGUGCCAGUACUAAAGAAGUACAUGUAUGGUGUGUGGUGCAACCUUUAUAUGCCUUAAGCAAAAGCUAUAAUUGUUGUAUCCUAACAUAUAACCUUUAAAUGCAAACAUAUACUUAUUGAAAAUGUGUAACCUUUAUUCACAUUAAUGUCUGUGUGUCAGGUGACCUUUUUAUGCACCUCUAGAGCUGAAAACCACACCAACAGGUAAAGUGUGGAACGAGACACAUGGUGGGGGUUGAGGCUGAUUAAGAUGUAAACCACAUUUUGCAGUGAAAGGAGGAGAGUUUGUUUAUGGUGUAAACCACAGAGAACAUUGAGUGCUUAGACAAAAGUUUAGAGGGGAGUAAUACCCAGAACUCAGGCGUAACAGAAUCAGACAAACACAUCCUGUGGGUGGGGAUGCGAGCAGGGCCUAGGGCCUAACCUUAACCUCUAGAAUGGGUAAACAAAAGGCUUCCAAUCACGGGUCACUUUUGGGGAAACGGACCAUAUAUAGGGGAUAAGCAAGACGUAUAUAAGGAGAAGAGAGAGGGAAAAGCGGGGCUUUUUGAACCUGCAUCUUUAUUGGGUUGUUAGCCUUUAGUCAGUAGGUUUUUCUUUGUUCUUUUAUGUUGUAUUCCAGUCCUGUUUGUAUACCUUAUUACAAUUUACUUUUAUUGGAUUUUUACUUAUACAUUUAUUGGA